rnacentral:rRNA from 1 species
UACGGAGGGUGCAAGCGUUAAUCGGAAUUACUGGGCGUAAAGCGUGCGUAGGUGGUGAGUUAAGUCUGAUGUGAAAUCCCCGGGCUCAACCUGGGAAUGGCAUUGGAUACUGGCUCGCUAGAGUGCGGUAGAGGGUGGUGGAAUUCCCGGUGUAGCAGUGAAAUGCGUAGAGAUCGGGAGGAACAUCUGUGGCGACGGCGGCCACCUGGACCAACACUGACACUGAGGCACGAAAGCGUGGAGAGCAAACAGG